rnacentral:rRNA from 1 species
GACGAACCGUGCGAACGUUGUUCGGAAUCACUGGGCGUAAAGGGUGCGUAGGCGGGGCUUUAAGUCAGGGGUGAAAUCCUGGAGCUCAACUCCAGAACUGCCUUUGAUACUGGCGACCUUGAGUCCGGGAGAGGUGAGUGGAACUGCGAGUGUAGAGGUGAAAUUCGUAGAUAUUCGCAAGAACACCAGUGGCGAAGGCGGCUCACUGGCCCGGUACUGACGCUGAGGUGCGAAAGCGUGGGGAGCAAACAGG